AGGACGAACGCUGGCGGCGUGCUUAACACAUGCAAGUCGAGCGGAAAGGCCCUUCGGGGUACUCGAGCGGCGAACGGGUGAGUAACACGUGAGCAACCUGCCCUUAGCUUCGGGAUAGCUCCGGGAAACCGGAAUUAAUACCGAAUAUGAUUUUUGCUGACAUCAGCAGAAGUGGAAAGUUUUUCGGCUAGGGAUGGGCUCGCGGCCUAUCAGCUAGUUGGUGAGGUAACGGCCCACCAAGGCGACGACGGGUA
rnacentral:rRNA from 1 species